rfam:Halodesulfurarchaeum formicicum strain HSR6 chromosome, complete genome.
GGUAGCGGCCGCCCGACCCCCGUGCCCCGAGUGGGCAUGAGGAAAGUCCCCCCACCGCCGGACAGGCGAUCGGGCACACGCCCGGGACGGGAGACCGUCGGGCCAUGGAACAGAAACGACACGGCUUCGCUCGACCGAUGAGGUGUGCGGAUCCGGGGCGAAAAAGGAUUCCCGAAAAAGCCCUGGAGCGACCCCACCGAGGGACGACGGCGAAGCAGCGAUGGAACGGCCACCCCUCGCCGGUGCAAGUCCGCGUGAAUGGUAGUCCGGCAGUCUGCGCGGACGCGUAGCCGAAUGUCGGGUCGAAACAGAAGGGGGCUUACGAACCGCAACC